CUGCUGACUUUGGCAGCACAUAUUCCAAAAUUGGAACCAUACAGAGAAGAUUGGCAUGGCCCCUGUGCAAGGACGGCACGCAAAUACAUGAAGCGUUCCAUAUUUUU
ensembl:snRNA U6 U6 spliceosomal RNA